rnacentral:rRNA from 1 species
UCCGGACCUGACUGCUAUCGGAUUGAUACUAAGCCAUGCGAGUCAUUGUAGCAAUACAAGGCAGACGGCUCAGUAACGCGUAGUCAACCUACCCUAUGGACAGGAAUAACCUCGGGAAACUGAGUAUAAUGCCCGAUAGAACAUUAUACCUGGAAUGGUUUAUGUUCCAAAUGAUUUAUCGCCGUAGGAUGGGACUGCGGCCUAUCAGUUUGUUGGUGAGGUAAUGGCCCACCAAGACUAUUACAGGUACGGGCUCUGAGAGGAGUGGCCCGGAGAUGGGUACUGAGACACGGACCCAGGCCCUAUGGGGCGCAGCAGGCGAGAAAACUUUGCAAUGUGCGAAAGCACGACAAGGUUAAUCCGAGUGGUUUCUGCUAAAGGAACCUUUUGUCAGUCCUAGAAACACUGAUGAAUAAGGGGUGGGCAAGUUCUGGUGU